rnacentral:rRNA from 1 species
ACCCGCUGAAUUUAAGCAUAUAAGUAAGCGGAGGAAAAGAAACUAAAUAGGAUUCCCUCAGUAAUGGCGAAUGAACAGGGAUGAGCUCAGUAUGGAAAUUGGGGCCUGUGGCCUUGAAUUGUAAUCUGGAGAUGUACCACCAACUGGGGCGCAGAUGUAAGCCUCUUGGAAAAGAGCAUCAAUGAGGGUGAGAGUCCCGCUUGGCAUCUGCAGUCCCCAGUGCACGGUGUACCUUCUAAGAGUCACGUUCCUCGGGAUUGGAGCGCAAAUCGGGUGGUAAGUUUCAUCUAAAGCUAAAUAUAGUUUCGAGACCGAUAGCAAACAAGUACCAUGAGGGAAAGGUGAAAAGGACUUUGAAAAGAGAGUUAAAAGUGCCUGAAAUUGCUGAAAGGGAAGCGAAUGGAACCAGCGUAACUUGGCGAGAUUGCUGCGUGUCAAUGUGAUUGCUUGCUGCUUCAACGUAAGUGUUGUAGUAAGUCUUGAACAGGACAUGCGCGGUGCUUCUUGCCUUGUGUGUCACCGUCAAUUCGCAACUGGGGAAAACUUCAGGGACAUGGUAGCCUGUCUCCGGGUGGGUGAACGUGUUUGCUGGAACUCAUUUGCGGAUUGCUUGGUGACUAAAUGGUUCCAUCUGACCCGUCUUGAAACACGGACCAAGGAGUCUAACAUAUGUGCAAGUUCACGGGUGUUAAACCUGCUUGCGUAAUGAAAGUGACUGCUGGGAUUUUUGCACCAGCAACCGACCAAUCAAUUGAGAGAGGUUUGAGUAUGAGCAUAUCUGUUAGGACCCGAAAGAUGGUGAACUAUGCCUGUGAAGGGCAAACUCAGGGGAAACUCUGAUGGAGGCUCGUAGCGAUACUGACGUGCAAAUCGUUCGUCAUACAUGGGUAUAGGGGCGAAAGACUAAUCGAACCAUCUAGUAGCUGGUUCCCUCCGA